rnacentral:rRNA from 1 species
GAUACUGGGAGACUUGAGUCAUGGAGAGGAAGACGGAAUUCCUGGUGUAGGGGUGAAAUCUAUAGAUAUCAGGAAGAACACCGAUUGCGAAGGCUGUCUUCUGGACAUUAACUGACGCUGAUGUACGAAAGUUAGGGUAGCAAACAGGAUUAGAGACCCUGGUAGUCCUGACUGUAAACGUUGUAUACCAGAUGGUGGGAGUAUUGAUCCUUUCACUGUCGCAGCUAACGCAUUAAGUAUACCGCCUGGGGAAUAUGCCGGCAACGGUGAAACUCAAAGGAAUUGACGGGGGCCCGCACAAGCAGUGGAGCACGUUGUUUAAUUCGAUGAUACGCGAGAAACCUUACCAGGUCUUGACAUAUACCUGAAUGGUGUAGAAAUACAUCAGUCCUUCGGGACGGGUUUACAGGUGCUGCAUGGUUGUCGUCAGCUCGUGCCGUGAGGUGUUGGGUUAAGUCCCGCAACGAGCGCAACCCCUAUUCUUUGUUGCUAACGCAUUAUGGCGAGCACUCUAAGGAGACUGCCGGUGACAAGCCGGAGGAAGGUGGGGACGAC